rnacentral:misc_RNA from 1 species
AAAAUGCGAUAAGUAGUGUGAAUUGCAGACUUUUAGCGAAUCAUCGAAUCUUUGAACGCACAUUGCGCCCCUUGGUAUUCCAUUGGGCAUGCCUGUUCGAGCGUUAUAUGCACUCUCAAGCUCCGCUUGGUGUUGGGCGUCUGUUCGUGUGGUUAGCUCCUGCGCGGACUCGCCUUAAAGAUUUUGGCCGUGGCCGCAUCGGCUCCUUGCGCAGCACAUUUGCAUCGCGUGGAGUUCCCUGACGGGCGCGUGUCCUAGCAUGCAACCUCUCGUAGAUGGACCUCGAAUCAGGUAGGGAUACCCGCUGAACUUAA